CUCGAAGUCAGAAAGAAGUAGGGGACACAUCAGGCAGGGAGAGACAUCUAGAGAGAGUAGUCAAAGGCUGCACAAUUGUGAUAUACUCUUUAAAAUUUUCAGGGUGUUGUCAGAUGCCAGUCGUUCAUGCUCAUCGGUGUGGCCGGAUCACUCCUCGGAUCAGUCCCAUGUUUUCUCGAGGGUUGCGGUGAAGUUCUGAGAUCAUUCUUCCUGCAGUUUUGCCAUGUCGCAGACAAUAGAUCAAGCUGAGAUUGUAAAGCUGCUGAUCGAGGCAAUAGGUACGCCCCUUAUCAUCACUUGACAAAUCAAACUCUGAUUCUUCUUCUUCAGACAUGUUCCUGAUCUGCACCGCUCUUCUCACGUUUGGCAUGGGAAUGUGCAUCAUGUUCUACGGCUCCCGGAGCAUUCAGAAACCAGGAAUGCAAGUCGAUAACUUGCACCUGGGAUCCUUCAACCUAAAGAAGCUGAAAGAAGGGGCCAGGAUCCAGUCGAUCACGCAGGCGAAGACGAGGAUCGGGCACGCCAUACUCCUGCCACGCCGCCGCCGCCUCCUCCUCUCCCGCCUGGCCACAUCGCCCCGGCAGCCUCCUCCCCAGCCGCCGGCCGGCUUGCCCAGAGAAGAGAAUAGAAGCAAAGAGACAGAGAGGAGGAAGGGAGAGGAGGGGUAAGAGAGAUGACGUGGCAUCUUGACAUGUG